rnacentral:rRNA from 1 species
CAGGCCAGCAUCAGCUUGCCGUCGGGGACAAAAGCUUCAGGAACGUAGCUCUCUUCGGGGAGUGUUAUAGCCUGUUGCAUAAUACCCUUCGGCGGGCUGAGGUACGCGCUCCGCAAGGAUGCUGGCGUAAUGGUCAUCAGCGA